rnacentral:rRNA from 1 species
AACCAGCACCUCAAGUGGUCAGGAGGAUUAUUGGGCCUAAAGCAUCCGUAGCCGGCUCUGUAAGUUUUCGGUUAAAUCCAUGUGCUCAACGCAUGGGCUGCCGAAAAUACUGCAUAGCUAGGGAGUGGGAGAGGUAGACGGUACUCGGUAGGAAGGGGUAAAAUCCUUUGAUCUAUCGAUGACCACCUGUGGCGAAGGCGCCACACUAGAACGGAUCCGACGGUCAGGGACGAAACCUAGGGGCACGAACCGG